UUUUUCCUUUUUAUUCAUGAUAUGUAAAUACUUUAAGCAUUUUAUUGGAAACGAUCAGGUUAUUCUCUCCUCCUUUUAUUGUUAUUAUUGAAAGUAUUUUAUUUCUUUAUUUAUUGUUUGGAGAUCUUUCUUUGGUUGACCGGAUUCAUGAAUUGUGUGAUUUCACUAGCUUUUUGUAUGUGUUAAGUGUUAACUCGCAUACCAAAUCAUCUAGUUCUUUAGACUUUGUUUUAAUUAACAGUCAAUUUCAUAUGAUUAGACUUAAUUUUCUUGUUUAAAUAAAAAAUAAGUUUGCAUGUCUAACUAUCUUAUUCACCUUGAUUUAUAUUAAUAAUUAGAUAAUAAUCGAUUCACGCUUAGUUUAUUUACUUGUCUUAUUCACCACCUAACAAAUUAAAGGUGUGAUAGACAUCAUUCUACACAAACUAAUUAAAUGAAAAGGUCAACGAAAUCAAGAUUCGAGUAAGAGUUCAAAUUAUCUCAAAAGGAAGGUGUUAAGCAACUUUCGAGGUUCAUAAAUGUGAGUCCCUACCGUAUCUCAUAAUUUGUAUAGGGGUAAAUUUUGGUAGUAGGAAGGUACGGGAUAUGGAGAUGUAGGAUAUGGAGAAGUGGACUAUUGAGGAAGAGGUGGAGUUGUCAUUUGGUAUUUGAAGGGGUCUUGAGUCCAUAUAUCAGCAUCACAGAACCCGUUUCCUUCUUCUUUCGGUUCUCAGCCAUUCCCCCAGAUUGCAAAGCAUUGUUGGUGGCUUGUAAAACCUCCAAGUUAAUGAUAAUUAGGGGUGUCAAAUGGGCGGGUUGGGUUGAAAUUGGAGAUACUAAAAUGAGUUGAAAUUGAAAUCGGGUUGGGUUUUGACCCACCCAAGUUUACUUUGGGCUCAAAUGGGUUGGGUUCAAAUGGGCUUAAAAACGAGUUGGGUCUUGACCCGAUUAAUCUCAAUAAUUUUAACAUAGUGAUACUUAACUUUUAUAAUCACAAUUCGAAUUUCAACUCAAGGUUUUUUUUAAAAAAAGUAACAAAUGGAUACCUUUAAUAUAGGAACAUAUUUUAGUAAAGAGUUUUAAAACAGGUUGAAAUUGGAGAUUGAAUUAGUCUCAAUUGAGGAUUCUCUUAAAAUGGGUUAGGCUUGAAUGGAUUGAAAUUGAACCCAAUUCAAAUUAUCUUGAGCCCAACCCUUAAAAUUCUAGGCGGGUUACCUAUGUUUGGGUUCAUUUUUGACACCCCUAAUGAUAAUUACAUUCCUAUACCCUCUUCAAUUCUCUCACCCAGCUUAAUGAUAUCGACAAAGCUCUUUUCAGCAACGAGCAUCAUCCUAACAUAAUAUUGAGUGUCUUGGGUGCAAAUAAAGUAAUCUUUCAUCUAUGGCUCCUCCAUAGGAGGUCUAGCUCUAGCAACUUCAUAUCUCCAUCUAAUAACAUAGUCCAGAAAGGAUUCACUUGGCUUCUUCUUCAGAAUUUGGAUGUAAAAUCAAGUCGACGCAUUUUCAACAUUAAAUCCUAAUCCGUUCAUAAAAUCUAUGGUCAUGUCUACCCAUUCGAUCCAUUUGCGAGAGUCUUGCUCAAUGUACCAUGACAAUGCCUCCCAGCAAGACUUCUCAUAAAAAACUUCAUUUAAAUCUUUUCAUCCCUUGUUUAUCACAGUACAUGCAUAAGUGAGCCAUAGGGUCUCUAAUGCCUUUGAACAACUCAAAAUUUGGAGGUUUAUACCAUUCAGGUAGCUCAACAUCCGGAUGCAAGGAAAUGUCCUCGUAACACAGUCCCCCAACCUUUUGCUUCCUUCGACAUGCAGCACCUUAUUAGCCAACUUAUCCAACCCCUCUGACCUGACUUUUAUCAGAAUAUUAUGUUGGGAGGAUUCUGACUCGUGAUAGUCAUGGGUGAGAGCGAAAGAUUCGACAUAUAUUGGAUUAAGGGUAUAGUUUCCAAGAAUAUGGGCAUAUGAGACAUUCAUAGUGGGUAUGUCAUGAUUAAGUAUUGGUUCAUAAGUGUUUGUUUUGUUUUGGUGGUGGUAAUGGUAAAUUGGAAAUUUUCAUUUGGAGGGGUCAUUUGUGUGGAGCUUGGUUAGAUUUGAGUAUUAGGUGGUGGAAGGUGAUUUGGAUGAGGUAUAUGAUUAGAGAUAGGUCGAGUUAUGUUAUGCAGUAGAGGGUGAUUUUGCAGAGUGGUUUGGUUGGUGGUGGGUAGAUUGUCCAUGUGUUCCCCAAAAGGGGUGCCAAGAGAGAUGGAUAGUUUGGUCAGAUCGCACAUGUUGGAAACUUAUUCUUUUAACUACAUAAUCUUACGCUCAAGUCUUAAAACCAAAUCAUUGGACAAUUGUCCUCUCUCAGAAGUCUCAACUCUUCCAUUAGUGCUAUUGUUGUCAACCAUUUUUCCUUUUGCUUCGUAGCUUAAUCUGCAAGGAGGAGGAGGAGGAGAAAGAGGAGCCCAUUUUGGGUAGGCCAGAGUGUAAGGACAUGUCAAUCUUUGGGAAUAGGAAAAUAAAAUGAUAAGAAAAAUGAUGUUAGGAGAUGAAAAUAAUAUAAUAAAUUAAUAAUAAUAACAGGUUGUUUGAAGUAAACACAUUAAAUGCAAAGGACUUGUUGAGGCAGAGCAAGGCCUAAGAGGAUAAAUAAGUGAUGCACAAUAAUUAAUUCUAGUCAUUGUUUGCCAAUUUGGUGUUUAGAGUCAAAGGAAAUAAAGAAAAUCAAACUUUUAUUUAUUGAAUAAAAUCCAAUUAUUACAUCAUAAUUAAAAAACGAAAACUGAAAAUAAACUAAAGGGAAAAUAGGGUAACAUGGAAAAGUAAGCCUAAAUAGAAAAACAUCUUCAAAGGUGUUGGUCUCUAAUGUUGGGCACAAUUUGCUCUCUCAUCUCUGGAGUGACAUCAUAGUCACAGCUUAGAAGAUUACGUGCCCAUCUCCUCUCUCUUUCAUCACCAAACCAAGGAAGAACCCCUUUGCUCAAGUCCCUAUGCUCGGCAUCUUCCAAGAUCCACAUGUAAUAUUCGUGCGUAUAGAAAGGUCAUUGUUCUAGGAUAUCAAUAGUCAUCAUCCUUUCCUACCUUCGUAGUAUAAUAUCAACUUGUGGGAUGCCUGGCCCAAAGUUAUACUUGUAGUGACCCAUAUGACUUCACAAGGGUAUUAUUUGGAUUUGGCUUAAUUCACGGAGGACCCAGAGAGGUGCAUAUUGUUGAACGCCAUUCAAGCCAAUAAGCUCAAUGAAGUAGAGAUCGUCUCCUUUUAUUAUGGCAUGAUGAGGAUUCAACCAAAAAUAUCUCCAUUUUUUUGGAUGCGAUAACCAGAAAGCUCUCUCAUAUACAUGAACCAAUCUUCCGCUCCUAUAGUGAAAACAAAUAAUUCAUCCUUUUAGAGUGACAAGCAAUUUUGUUCCCCAUACCGUUCAGAUUAUCUGUCAAGUUGGCCCUUUUGUAAAAGUGCUCAAUGACCCAUAGUUGCAAUAAAAGGUUGAACCCCUCGGAAAAACUUCUACCCUUGACGCAUGCAGACAGACCCCUUAUCAUUUCUGUUAGUAUCAUGGGCACUAUAGUAUUUGUAGGAUUUAAUAUUCCUCGAGCUAAAACGCGGACCACAUCACUCAAGCUAGUGUUGAUAUUUCCUUCCUCCCUAGGAAAGACUAAUGAACCCGCUAAUGCAAAGGUAAAGAGGCAUUAAGACUAUAACUUUUCCACUUUUCAGCAGAGUAGGCGAAUUCUCUUCUAAAAUGUUAUAACCCUCAUCAUCCCCAAAACGUGGAUAUAGAAAGUCUAUACAAGUCCAUCCUUCCCUCAAACAAGUUUACUCUGUAUUGUGAUGCAUUCCCAAAUUUGUUAGAAAAUACCUUGGUGAUUGUUUGUGGGGUACACUCAAUUGGCAUUUCCGAUAAGGAAGGUCAAGGAACCCACCAACUUCUUCAAUUGUUGUGUUAAUUCGAAGUCUCUGAAUUUAAAAACCAAACUUGCAGGUCCCAAAACUUUAGCAAGACUUUGAUUAGGAAACGAUCAUGUGCGACAAAUAUGAGGAAAGUAAGGCCACCCAAUAAAUGAUGAACCUCUAAUUCACGAUUCUUCCACCUAUCUCUAAACUUUUGGUUCACACCUACUACUAUUCGAGUGUUGGAAAAAUCUAGAGAGGCCAUGACUCUGCAAAUAAAACAAUAAACAAAUUCUAAACUCCAUUUUGGUAUACCUUCAGUCAAUGUGAUCACAAUAAUUGAUCCAAGCCAAGUUAUGCCAAAAUGGAGUUUAGAAUUUUUUUUAUUGUUUUAUUUUGCAGAGUCAUGGCCUCUCUAGAAGUUGGUGGAAGGACAUUAAGAAGAAUCGUGAAUUAGAGGUGAUCCAUAUAUUGGGUGGACUUAGUUUCCUCAUCUUUGUGACAUAUGAUCGUUACCUAUUCAAGGCCUUAGUAAGGUUUUAGGACCCUGCAAGGUUGGUUUUUAAAUUCAGAGACUUUGAAUUAACACCAAUAAUUGAAGAAGUUGGUUGGUUCCUUGACCUUCCUUAUCGGGAAUGCCAAAUGAUAUUACCUCACAAACAAUCGUCAAGGUCUUUUCUAAAAGAAUUGGGAAUACAUCACAAUCCAUAGUUUACUUGUUUGAGGGAAGGAGGGACUUGUAUAGAAUUUCUAUAUGCACGUUUUGGGGAUUAUUAGGGUUAUAAAAAAUUUAGAAGAGAAUUCGCAUGCUCCGCUCAAAAGUGGAAAAACUAUCAUCUUAAUGUCUUUGCCGUUGCAUUACUUGGUUCAAUAGUCUUUUCUAGGGAAGAAGGAAAGACUAGCACUAACUUGAGUUAUGUGGUCUGUGUAUUAGCUUGAGGAAGGCUAAAUCCUACAAAUACUGUAGUGCCCAUGAUACUAGCAGAGAUGAUAAGGGGUUUGCCUGCCUGCGUCAAGUGUAGAAGUUUUUUCGAGGGGUGCAACCUUGUAUUGCAACUAUGGGUCAUCAAGAACUUUUACAAAUGGGCUAACUUGUAAGACAUUCUGAAUGGUAUGGGGAACAAAAAUUGCUAGUCACUCCAAAAGAAUGAAAUUUUUUGCCUCCCCUAUAGGAGGGGAAGAUUGGUUCAUAUAUAUGAGAGAGCUUUUUAGUUAUCGCAUCCAAUGGAGAUAGUUUUGGUUGACGCCUCAUCAUGUCAUAAUAAGAGGAGAUGAGCUCUACUUCAUUGAGCUUAUUGGCUUGAAUGAUGUUCAACCAUAUGCACCUCUUAGAGUCCUCUGUCAAUUUGGACAAAUCCAAAUGAUACACUUGCGAUCUUAUAUGGGUUACUAUGAGUAUAACUUUGGACAAGACAUCCCAAAAUUUGACAUUAUACUACAAAGGUGGGAAUGGGUGAUAAGUAUUGAUAUCCGAGGAAAAUGACCUUCUUGUACGCCCGCCCGAAUGUUACGUGAGGAUAUUGGAAGAUGCCAAGCAUAAGGACUUGACUUGAGCGAAAUGGGUCUUCCUAGGCUCGGUUAUGAAAGAGAUAGGAGAUGGACACGCAAUAUUCUAAGUUAUGAUUAUGAUGUCAGCCUGGAGAUAACGGAGAAACUAGUGCCAGCCAUUGGAGACCAAAACCUUUGAAGAUAAUUUUCUGUUUUAGGGUUACUUUCCCAUGUUAACCUAUUUUCCCUUUUUGUAUCAGUUUUCAUUUAAAAUUAUGAUGUAAUAGUUGGAUUUUAUUCAAUAAAUAAAAGUUUGCUUUUCUUUAUUUCCUCUAACUCUAAACUCCAAAUUUGCAAAAUAUUUCUUGAAUUAAUUAUUGUGCAUCAUCUGUUUGUCGUCUUAGGCCUACCCCUGGCUCAACGAGGUACUUUGCAUUUAGAGCGUUUACUUCAAACGUGUUUUUAUUAUAAUAUUGUUCUAAUCUCCUAACAUCGUUUUUCUAUUGAUUUUAUUUUCCUAUUCCCAAAGGUUGAUAUGUCCUUACACUAUGACCUAUCACACAAGAUCAAACGGGGAUUUUCUUUCUCCGUCUCGCAUAUGAAGCUACGAAUCAAAAGGCAAAGUGGUUGACAACAGAGCCCUAAUUAAAGAGUGGAGACUUCCUAGGGAGGACAAUUUUCCAAUGAUCUGGUUUUAAGACUUGAGCGUAAGAUUAUGGAGUUAGAAGAAGAAGUGGUCAACAUGCGCAAUCUAACCAAACUAUCCAUCUCUCUUGGCACCCCUUUUAGGGAACACAUGGACAAUCUACCCACCACAAACUAAACCACUCUACAAAAUUACCCUCCACCCCAUAACAUAACUCGACCUAGCUCUACUCAUAUAACUCAUCCAAAUCACCUCCCACCACCUUAUACUCAAAUUCAACCAAGCUCCAUACAUAUGCUCUCUCCAAAUGCCCAAACUCCAAUUUACCACUACCACCACGAAAACAAACCAAACACUUCCAAGCCAAUCCUUAAUCAUGACAUACCCACUACAAAUGUCACAUACCCAUGUUCUCGAAAACCAUACCUUUAAUUUGAUAUAUAUCAAAACUUUCCCUCUCACCUACGACUACCAUGAGUUAGAUCCUCCCAAAAGGAUAUUCUGAUAAAAUCCAUGUCAGAAAGGUUGGGUAAGUUGCUAAUAUGGUGCAGCAUGUCGAAGGAAGCAAAAGCUUUGGGGGUUGAGUUAUGAGGACCUUUGCAUGCAUCUGGAUGUUGAGCUACCUAAAUGGUAUAAGCCUCCAAAAUUUGAGUUGUUCAACGAUAUUGGAGACCCUAAGGCUCACUUAUGCAUGUACUGUGAUAAGCUUGUGGGAGUAGGAAUGGAUGAAAAGAUUUGAAUGGAGUUGUUUAUGAGAAGUUUUACUGGGUACAUUGAGCAAUAGUCUCGCAAAUAGGUCGAAUGGGUAGACAUGGAUUGGAUUCAAUGUUGAAAUUGUGCCAGAUUGGUUUUACAUCCAGAAUCUGAAGAAGAAGCCUAGUGAUUCCUCCAGGACUAUGCUAUUAGAUGGAGAUCUGAAGUUGCUAAAGCUAUACCUCUUAUGAUGGAGUCCCAGAUGAAAGAUUACUUUAUUCGCACCACCCAAGAGCCUCGAUAUUAUUAAAGGAUGAUGCUCGUUGCUAAAAAGAGCUUUGCCGAUAUUAUUAAGCUGGGGGAGAGAAUUGAAGAGGGUAUAAGGAAUGGAACUAUCAUUAACUUGAAGGCUUUACAAGUCACACACAAAGCUUUGCAAUCUGGGGAUAUGGCCAAGAACCGAAAGAAGAAGGAAACAGGUUCUGUGAUGAUGACACAUGGAAUCAAAACUCCCUCCAAAUACCAAAUUAAAACUCCACCUCAUCCUCAAUAUCGCACAUCUCCAUAUCCCGUACCUUUCUACUACCAAAAUUCACCCCACAGAAAUUAUAUGAGAUACAAUCGGGACCCACAUUUGUGGACCUCAAAAGGUGUUUAAUACCUUGUUUCGAGGUAAUUUGAAUCCUUACCUGAAUCUUGGUAAGGGUUCAUAUAACCUCAAAACAAGGUGUUAAGCACCUUUUGAGGUCCACAAAUAUGGGUCCCGGCCAAUUCUUAUGUAAUGCGCAUUGACUAUCGUCAAUUAAACAAAGUCACAAUCAAGAAUAAGUAUCCCAUCCCCAGGAUUGAUGAUUUGUUUGACCAACUUCAGGGUGCUAGUUGCUUUUCUAAGAUAGACCUCAGAUCCGGCUAUCAUCAGCUUAGAGUCAGAGAUAGUGACAUUCCAAAGAUACUUUUCAGAACUCGCUAUGGUCAUUAUGAAUUUGUAGUUAUGUCUUUUUGGACUAACAAAUGCUCAUGCAACUUUCAUGGACUUAAUGAACAGGGUGUUCAAACAGUAUUUGGACUUGUUCAUUAUCGUAUUUAUUGAUGAUCUCCUCAUUUAUUCUCGGAGUGGGGAGGAGCAUGCGACUCAUUUGUGAGUGGUUCUGCAAACUCUCAAAGAUCGCCAGUUAUUUGCUAAGUUCAACAAAUGUGAAUUCUGGCUAUAGUCUGUCGCUUUCCUUGGUCAAGUGGUAUCUAGCAAAGGAAUCCGAGUGGAUUCUCAGAAAAUAGAGGCAGUGAAGCAAUGGCACAGACCCACUCUCCAACAGAUACCAGAAGUUUCUUGGGUUUGGUCGGUUAUUACAGGAGAUUUGUUGAAGGAUUUUCAUCCAUAGCUUCCCCAUUGACCAAGUUGACUCAAAAAAAGGUCAAAUUUCAGUGGUCAAUGAAGUGAGAAAAGCUUCUCAGAACUGAAGACUAGGUUGACUACAGCUCCUAUCUUGACUAUACCACAUGUUCAGACGGUUAUGUGAUUUAUUAUGAUGAAUCAAGGGUCAGCCUAGGUUGUGUGUUGAUGCAGUGAGGUAAGGUCAUAGCUUAUAAUUCUAGACAGCUUUAGGUCCAUGAGAAGAACUACCUGACUCAUGACCUCGAACUUGCAACCGUCGUAUUUGCCCUAAAGAUAUGGACACACUACUUGUAUGGUGUUCAUGUUGAUGCGUUCACAGAUCAUAAGAGCCUCCAGUAUGUGUUCACGCAGAAAGAGUUGAAUAUUCGUUAAAGGAGAUGACUUGAAUUCAUCAAGGUGACAUAAAUGUAUUUUACCAUCCUGGUAAGGUCAAUGUAGUGGUUGAUGCUCUUAGCAGACUGUCUAGGGGUAGUGUAGCACAUGUUGAGGAAGAAAAGAAAGAGCUAGCCAAAGAUGUUCACCGGGUUCCUCGCUUAGGAGUUUGCCUUACACACACAUCAGAAGAGGGUGUGAUAGUUCAGAAUGGGUUAGAAUGUUCAUUGGUAGCGGAGGUUAAGGAAAAAUAGGAUAGUGAUCCUAUAUUAGUUCAAUUGAAAGGUGCAGUUCAUCAACAGAAAGUUGAGGUUUUCUCCCAAGAGGGAGAUAGUGUGCUUCGUUACGAGGGUCGCUUAUGUGUUCCUAAUUUGGGUGAGUUGAGGAAGCAGAUUCUUACAAAAGUCCAUAAUUCCAGAUAUUCCAUUCAUCCAAGUGCCACUAAGAUGUACCGUGAUCUACGAGAAGUCUUUUGGUUGAACGACAUGAAGAGGGACAUAGGAGAUUUUGUGGUUAAGUGUCCUAACUGUCAACAGGUUAAGGUAGGUAUGACUCAAGAGAUUAGGAUUCCUACAUAGAAGUGGGAAGUGAUAAACAUGGACUUAAUUACGGGUUUACCUCGUACUCGCAGACAUCAUGACUCCAUUUGGGCGAUAGUGGACAGAGUUGCUAAGUCCACUCACUUCUUGGUUGUCAAGACUACAGAUUCUGUGGAGGACUACGCCAAACUUUACAUCAAUCUAGUCAGGUUACACGGGGCCCCCUUGUCUAUCAUCUCAGAUAGAGGUCCUUAUUUUACCUCUCAUUUUUGGAAAUAAUUUCAGAUAGGUCUUGGUGCUUAGGUAAAUCUCAGUACAACUUUUCAUCCGCAGACGUAUAGUCAGGCAGAGCGUACCGUUCAGACCUUAGAGGCCAUGUUGAGAGCUUGUGUGAUCGAUUUCAAGGGUAAUUGGGAUGAUCACAUAACUCUCAUAGAGUUCGCCUAUAAUAAUAGCUACCAUUCUAGUAUUCAGAUGGCCCCUAAUGAGGUACUGUAUGGGCAUAGAUGCAGGUCCCCCAUUGGUUGGUUUGAAGUAGGUGAAGCAGCCUUCAUUGGACCAGAUUCAGUUCAUGAGGCUAUGGAAAAAGUUCAGCUCAUCAGAGAUAGACUAAAGACAGCUCAGAGUCGUCAGAAGUCCUAUGCAAAUGUGAGGAGAAGGGACUUAGAGUUCGAAAUCGAUGAUUGGGUUUUCCUAAAAUGUCACCUAUGAAGGGAGUGAUGAGAUUUGGCAAGAAAGGAAAGCUCAGUCCCAGUUAUGUAGGUCCUUACAGAAUCUUGAAAAGGGUUGGUAAUGUGGCUUAUGAGUUAGAGUUGCCAGCAAAACUAGCAGUGGUUCAUCCAAUAUUUCACAUUUCCUUGUUGAAGAAGUGUGUUGGUGAUCUGGCAUUAAUAGUACCAUUAGAGAGUGUGGAUGUGAAGGAUAGUCCCACUUAUGAAAAGUGCUAGUUGAAAUUCUUGACCAUCAGGUUCGUAGGUUGAGAAAUAAGGAAGUCGCUUCAGUGAAGGUUUUGUGGAGGAGUCCGUCCGUAGAGGGAGCUACUUGGGAAGCAUAAGCAACCAUGAUUGCCAAGUAUCCUCACCUAUUUCCUUCUGAUUCCGUUUCAGAUUGAGGUAAUAGUUCCUCUCAAGUAUCUCAUUUUACUCCUAAGUAAUUCAGCCUCAAUAUCUUGUUCCAUAAGUUAUUCUUGCAUUUCAACAUAUUUGCAUGUUCAUGCAACUCAAUUUAGUUAGAUAUCCGUUUUUAGAAGUUAGCUUGUAAGAAUUUCAUAUGAUGGCAUAUGAAAUUCCUUUAUUCUUCAGUUUUCUUAAUUUUCCGCAUGUUUUUAACUAUUGGGAUAUGAGGGUUCUCCUACUUAGGUGCUAGAGUAGGUGCCCGCACGGCCCGGUGGGUUGGGACGUGACAAAACUGGAUUCUUUUAAACUAUUAAAUCUACUUUUUUUGGAUGAAGAAUUUUCUUUUUUUUUAAAAAGCAAUAUUAUAGAAAAUAAAAACGGUAAAUUCUUACCGCAUCACUAUUUGAUUACAAAAAAAAAAUGUCAUGAUACAAAAAAUUUGUAACAAAAUAAAUAAAAAUAAAACAAUUAACGAAAAAAAGAAACAUUAGUAAAGGAAUAGUUAAACAAUAAAAUUUAAAUUUGUGAUGUAGUUUUUAUUUCUUUAGCAACCUAACAUAUUGAGAAAAUUUUCAUAAAAUGAAUAAUGACUUGCAAAGUGCUAUUUCAUGUUUUCAUUUUCAAAAAAAAUAUUUUUAUCAUUGAUAUUAUUGCAUUAUCAUAUAAAAGAAGAGAUUAAUAGUAAAUCAAAGGAAUAGAAGAUGAUUCAUUUUUUUAAUCUUUCAAUUUUUGUUUUGCUCUGCAAAUAAUUCAUUUUAUGUGGUAUAUAUUAAUUUGAUUAUAGUAUCUUUUUUUAUUGAUCAUUGAAAUUCAUUAUUUUGUACAUCCUAAUUUUAUGAAAUUAUAUUUGAGUAAAUGAAAAAUUAUUUUAAUUUGCAGGAUAAAAUGAGAGAAGAUUGUGGUUGCAACAUGCUUUGUAAAUUAUAUUUAGAUUUUUAGCUAAAAGUAGAGUUAAUAUUUUUAAUACUAGGUUUUAGAUUGAUCUAUGAACUUAAAAUUUAAUUAAUUAGUACAAAUAUCAAUUCAACACACG
rnacentral:lncRNA from 1 species